rnacentral:rRNA from 1 species
AUUGAACGCUGGCGGAAUGCUUUACACAUGCAAGUCGAACGGUAGAGGGGGCAACCCCUCGAGAGUGGCGAACGGGUGAGUAAUAUAUCGGGACGUGCCCAGUCGUGGGGGAUAACGUAGCGAAAGUUACGCUAAUACCGCAUACGAUCUAAGGAUGAAAGCGGGGGAUCGCAAGACCUCGCGCGAUUGGAGCGGCCGAUAUCAGAUUAGGUAGUUGGUGGGGUAACGGCUCACCAAGCCAACGAUCUGUAGCUGGUCUUAGAGGACGACCAGCCACACUGGGAAUGAGGCACGGUCCAGACUCCUACGGGUGGCAGCAGUGGGGAAUUUUGGAGAAUGGACGCAAGUCUGAUCCGGCGCUUCCGCGUACAGGAUGAAGGCCCUCGGGUUGUAAACUGCUUUUGUACGGAACGAAAAGGUCUCUCUUAAUACGGGGGACUCAUUACGGUACCGUAAGAAUAAGCACCGGCUAACUACGUGCCAGCAGCCGCCGUAA